rnacentral:rRNA from 1 species
UACGAAGGGGGCUAGCGUUGCUCGGAAUCACUGGGCGUAAAGGGUGCGUAGGCGGGUCUUUAAGUCAGGGGUGAAAUCCUGGAGCUCAACUCCAGAACUGCCUUUGAUACUGAAGAUCUUGAGUUCGGGAGAGGUGAGUGGAACUGCGAGUGUAGAGGUGAAAUGCGUAGAUAUCGGAAGGAACACCAGUGGCGAAAGCGGCUUGCUGGGCUUGGUCUGACGCUGAGGCGCGAAAGCGUGGGGAGCGAACAGG